CAAAAUAUAUUUCAAAACCCUAGAAUCGUAAUAUCCCAUUCUAAUUUCUAAAAGCUUUGUGUUCUCGGGGAGCAAUUACAAUCCAGAAUACUCGCAAACACUUGAAUUAGAUAGCUAUUUCAUCAAUUCUUCGAGAAAGAUUGUGGCUGUUGGAAAGAGAUUUUGAUCAAAUGAGGUUCAAAAAGGGUGAUAAGGUGGAAGUAAUGAACAGAGCUGAGGUACCAAUCUCAUGGCGCGCUGCCGAGAUAGUGUCUGGUAAUGGCCACACUUCCAGUGUCAGAUAUGGAUCUGGUUCACCAAUGCAAAGUGAAAAUAUCGAAGAAAGGGUAUCAAGGAAAAUGAUAAGGCCCUGCCCCCCUGUAGUGCAGUGUGUGGAGACUUGGGCACCUGGGGACAUUGUGGAGGUAUAUAAUGACUGCUCUUGGAAAGUUGCCAUCGUGCUCAGUAUUUUACCACGUGAUCGUUAUUUGGCGAGACUACUUGGUUGCUCGCUGGAACUUAGCAUUCAUAAAUCAGGCAUGAGAGAUAGACAAAAUUGGAAAGAUGGCAAAUGGAUUUUUAUCAGAAAGGGUUGUGAUCAAGCUGGGACCCAGAGAUCUAACAAAAUUUCAGCUCAAGAUUAUAGUCAGAAGAUGAAGUCGCAGCCGCUGCAACUUGAUGCACAUACUAAAGUUCUUGGAGAAACUGAUGGUUUAGCCACUGAAGGGAAAAAUAGAGGACAAGAGUCUUGUUUAAUCUCAUCAAGAUCCCUAAAGAGAAUGUCUCCUUAUUGCACAUCUGGUGUUGAUUCACUUUAUGGGAAUGCUCAGAAAUUUCAAGCAAUCGAGACAGAUAAUCGCAGGCAACGAGCAGCUCUAGUGACCUUACAGGAAAAGGGCCAAAAAUUGAAGCAUCAUUCCUUGCUUCCAUAUGUAUAAAGUUGAUGCUGGGAUUUGCGGCCAUUCAAGUGGCAUAAAAUGGGGAUACCGUAUGCAUCUGCUUUCCCAGAAAUCUUGGCAAAUCUCUCGUAUCACAGGUGUCUCAAGGCAGAAGAUACUUGUCUUCCUGACUUGGUCAAUGCUUUAGUUAUUGCAAGGUGGUACAGUCGAGCUAAUGUUCUCAUAUAGUAAACAUGCUGUGUCCCAUCCACAACACUACAAGGUAAGUGCUAAACAUAAUGGUUGACCUUCUCCUAACCUUGCUUACCCUGGCUACUUCAUAAUGUUAGUUAAGGAAUAUUACUUUCUCUCAAAUUUUUUUCUGGUUGUAUUGGGUCGGGGAGGGUGGGGCCAUGGUUGAAGGGGCGUUUCACUUGCAGAGGUGCCAGUUGAUACCUCAAGUGGUGAUUCCAGAUAUCUGUUUGGUAGUCAUCCUUGUUUUUUCUUUAUUUUCUAUGUGAUCUUAUCAUCCUCCCAAUUUGAUGAUUAUCUCAUCUACCAAAUUACUCUAGGACAUCUGCACUUUGGAUAUUUCUCUAAGCUAAAGUUAUACAUUUGCACUUUAGCAAAAUCAUGUAUUUCAAAACGAGAAUCUGCUCAAGCAUGAAUGCUUAAGAUUGCUCAGUUUUAAUGAAUUACACCCAGAUAUCUGUACUUUAUGAAUAAUUUUUGGCAUUUCUCUAUCUUCUCUGUUAUGUGAAUGAAAGAGAGACAACAAAAAGUUGAAGGUGUUCAGAAUUCCAUUAUUGCCAUUUGAGGUGUUGAGUUCCGGUUAGACCUUUCUUGAGUUGCUAUCUUUUGAAAGGUGUUUACAGCAGGCCAAACCGGGCAUGUGGAAGCAUGAUGAGGGGUUUUAGAUAGUGGUGUUGCCUUUUUUUACUUUAAAACCUGAGAAUGCCUUGAUCCACUAUGUUGAGGUCAGAUGCAAAUUGUACAAGGAAAAUAAGAAGGAAAAUGAACUUGACUUAUUAUCUUGAUAAGCGAAUCAUUGAGCAUAAUGAGUUGAGCGAAGGAGUCAUUUGGGUGGUGCCUCAGGAUGUGAGAAGCUUACGAGUUUGGCCCAUUAUGCAUCUUGUGGACCAUAUGAUUGGAAUAAAACAAUAGAUGCUUUGAAGGAAAGAGACAACCUACCUCUUUUGUAGAAAAUAGAUGUCAGCAGGUUAUUUAUACUUGGGAGCAAUAUGCUGGAUAGUCCAUCUUUUCUUUUGAAUUUGUUGGAGGAUAUGAUGCUGUAACUGUUAUGAUGCGCUUGAUCCUCUCUUUUGUACUUCUAUAGUAACCUUCUUUGUAAUUCAUAUUAUAAAUACUUUAUUUUACCACACAAAAAAAGAGUUGAGGUAAGGACUUUGCAAUCUUAUUACUUUGCUCCGCAACCAAUACAUGCCUUUUCUCUUUUUCCUUUUGUCGAGGCAUGGAUCGUUCAAGCUUGUAAACAAGCCAUUAAAACUCGGUAUGCAUCAGUCUUGUUAUCUUUGCAGCACCCUGAGACAAUGAACUAUCUCAUAGAAACCAAUUUAUUUUCCUUUAUGCAGUUAAUUUCACUGCCUGGGAGUUGGGGACAUGACAAUGGCACUGAGAUCUUCUAGGAGGGAUGAUUGCAGCAAGUAUGUAGGGAUGAUUGCCUGGGAAGUGUUUGUUAUGUUGUAUGUAGGGUAUAUAUUUCAUCCGCAAUGAAGAUACAAAAUGUUUAUAGGGAAGUGAUGAUGUGUUGAAAGGGGUUUAGCCCCUCUUGCACCCGGGCAUCACCCUCAAUUCUGUGUUUCUGUGUAUAACUUGCAUCUUGAAUUCAAAGUAUAAUUACCCAGAGAAUAUGCCUUUUCAGUCUAUGCGUUAA